AGAAGUCUUUUUGGAAUUGCAUGGAAUUCUUAUCACCAUUCCAAAGAAGUAAUGACUUGUCACUUACCAGCUCAUCUCUGGGACAGAACAAAACAGUACACUCAAAAGUUCAAAGUGAUUAUUGGAGUCCCAUGGAUUUCUUGCUACCACACUAAGAAGAGCUGAUUUUUGUGACUUCUACCAGUUUCUUUAUCUGAGAAAGAACACAAUGUUGCAUUCUUGAGGAUUUUAGCACCUUUUUAUUCUUCUGAUGACUCCUCAUAUGCGAGCCAUGCAUGGAGAAUGAUGGAGAUUGUCUUCCUCACUGGAGUGGCAGUGGGAAAUUUGGCUCUGCUAAGAGUUGUACUUGUCUGAAUACCACUGCGUCCUAAGCAGUAUAGCUUGGAAUCAAGAUAAUCUUGUACCGAAAUGAAGUGUGUGGCUAAGAUUGUACCUGAGGCCUCAGCAGAACGUUCUGUUGGGUGUGAGUAUUGAAGAGUGUAGUGAAGAAUUUUUUUAAUUUUAUGUGACCUUAGGAUCAAUUUUGAAUAUGUUUAACUUUCUCAUACCACAGUACAAUAGUCGUCCAUGCUAGUUUCCAGUUCUGUAUGCUUCUCCCAGUUGCUCAAUGUGGUCAAUCCAGAUAGGUAUUUUAUAUGCCCACUUCAUGGUGACCACUUCCUUAUGAGUGCUAGAUAUAACCUAUUUGACUAGCCCUGCUGACCCCCAGUCACCGUGGACUGUGAAUACAUGUUUCAGUGACCACCUGUCAGUCACAGUGUCACUCCACAAAGCUUGUGCCUGCUUGCUGUAAAUCUACAAAUUAAAACUUAAUAAGGAAAACCUGUUUAGAUAACACGCUGGGCCUAACUCUCUCUCUCUCUCUCUCGCUUCCUCCCUGUCCCUCCCU